UUUUUUCUGUUGAAGUCAAAGGGUGAGCUUUGUGCUGAUGUGUUUUUAACACCCCCGAACACUUGUUAUCUCCUCUUUCUGCAAAGAAAGAGCUGGCCGUGGGCUCUGAGCCUUCUACCGGCAACACUUCUAGAAAGGAUUUUGAUGCUACAGUUUUCUUGUUAUUGCAUUUUCAUUGAUAUAGUGAUCCUUUUUAAUGACAAAUAAGACUGAUUUCCAUCUAGGAUGUGGUUUUACAAAGUGUUCAUUUAACUAAAAAGUGUGAAUUGAGGCAAAGAAAAAAACUGAUGCAAAUAGUGGCAGGAAAAUAUUGCCCAGAGGCAAAAAUCCCGAAAAUGGGAAACACAGUGUUUCUAGACAGGACCAGCAGAUCCAGACUGCCUCGGUUCAGAUGCACCUCCUAGCUGUGUGACUUUGGGCAAGCUACUCAACCUCUCUAUGCCUCAGUUUCCUCAUCUGAAAAACAGGGAAAAUAAUAAACCAACCUUAGAAGCCACUAUGAUGAGUGAAUGAGAACAAGGGUCAAGCACUUAGGACAAAGCCUGCCACACAGUAAGUGCUUUGCUAAGGUUCACAGUGAAGAUGAUGACUGUAACGAUGAUAAUGAGGAUGACGGCGGUGUUGGCAGUGAUGAUGAUGGUAGUGAAUAGGCUCAGAAAGAUUCUUGGCCAUUUAAGGUUUAGGUUGGUGGCCCAGAAAGGGUGACUGGGCUUUCUCAUUAAGAAGGGAAAGCAAAUGCUAGAAGUGCACCACACCCAGAAUGUCAAUGAGUCUGGGGAAUGAGAAACAUUUGGUAUCUAGCCACACUGUAGAGUAACAAUCAGUCUCUCUCUCAAUUGUGACAUUCUGCAGAGCAGGCAAGUGUCCUGCUAACAGGAAUAAUGGCCACAUUUGUUGAGUGCUUACUCUGCUCUAGGCUUUGGGUGAGUGCAUUGCAUUCAUUCUCUUAAAGAUUUUGUCCCCGUUCUUCGGAUGACUAAAUUGAGACUCAGAGAAGUUAAAUAGCUUAAGUGCAUGAAGUAGUAAGUGACAGAGCCCACAUGAGAUUGGGGCAGCUGUCGCGUCUGCUUUGCUCCAUUCCACCCUCAGCCUUGUCAUGAAACUCUAGCCAUGGCUGGCUCCUUCUCAUUUGGGUACAGCCCAAAUGUCACUGCUCAGAGGGGGCUUCCUGGGUCAUUCUGUCCCUUUCCCAAACCCUGGCCACUCUCUCUCCUGUGAUGGGACAACCUAGUGGUCAAGGGCCAGACUCUGAAGGCCAGUGCUUGUAUCCCUGUUCUAACUCUUGUUUAAACUCUCUGAAACUCAGUUCCCUCGUCUGUAAAAUGGGAGUGUCAUAGUAACUUACGGGUUUCUUGUGAGUUUUAAAUGUUAUAUUUGAUGCAUAUACAAAGUACUGCAGAUAAUAUCUGGCCUGUAGUAAGCACUCAAUAAGUGCUAGUAUUUAUUGCAUUUCUCCCCUGGAACAUAAAUUCUACAAGAGCAGCACUUUACUUGGCUUUUUUACAACUGUACUCAGUGCCUAGAGCAUAACAGGUGCUCAAUAAACAUUAGCUGAAUGGAAUGAGUGAAUGAAUGAAAGAAUGAAUAUGAUAUAGUUUGGCUGUGUCCCCACCUAAACCUCAUCUUGAAUUGCAGCUCCCAUAAUUCACACACAUCAUGGGAGGGACCUGGUGGGAGGUAAUUAAAUCAUGGGAUAGAGUCUUUCCCAUGCUAUUCUCAUGAUAGUGAAUAAGUCUCAUGAGAUCUGAAGGUUUUAUAAAGGGCAGUUCCCUGAACAUGCUCUCUUGCCUGCUGCCAUGUAAGAUGUGCCUUUGCUCCUCCUUUGCCUUUCUCCAUGAUUGUGAGGCCUUCUCAGCCACGUGGAACUGUGAGUUCACUAAACCUCUCUUUUUCUUUAUAAAUUAUCCAGUCUUGGGUAUUUCUUCAUAGCAGUAUGAAAAUGGACUGAUACAGAAUAUUUACCUCCAAAGCCUAUGUUCUUACUCACUGUACCAAGCUGUCCCCUUGCUGACUUCCUUGUUUUAUGCCCUAUGCCAAGCAUGGUGCCCAGUCUGGUGGGGUUCAGUAAAGGCUGAGCAUAAUUGAGCCUAACAACUGUCCCUUCUUCUCCUGGGGAAGCUACAUUGUGCUCCUGCCCAUGAUGCCAACUUUUUCUAUCCUUCCCUAUCCCUCCACCUGGAAAACUGUGCACAUUUGUACUGUACCUGCUUGCCCUGUCGUAAGCUAGUUUGGGAAUAAUAUGCUGCCACUCCUUGGAUCCUCUUCACAUCAUCACAUAAGAGGAAACAAUUGUCUUAAUUGCCAGGCCCUGAGCAAUCAUUCAAAAGGCAGCAGGAUGAAGCUCUGGUGCAUUCUGAAUGCCUUUGGGGAGUGUUUCCGUGUUGAAUUCUGGAAGGUUUGGGUGUAUUUAUGGAGAGCCUUAGCUGUAUUGAUUUAUAAAGUGCCUAUUUCCAGAAAGGGGUUGGGAAAACCCAUCCUUUGCCCUCUUCUACCAGAAGGAUCCUUCUAAGAUGCCCUUUUAUCUCUCUACCUCCUGAGCUUUUAUGCACCCUUCAAGGCCCAGAUCAAAUCUCACCUGGUCUCUGGAGGCUUCCCAACUUCCCUGGCUGUUAGUUGUUUGUUUUUCUGAUCCAAGCUUAUUUUCUCUUCCUUGUAUUACAUUCAACCUGUUCAUCUAGUCAUUUGUUUAACACACACUGGCUGAACCCCUACUACAUGUCUGGCUCUGUGCUCUUAGAAAGACCAAAGAGAUGACAAUUUUUGCCACCAAAGAACCUUCAAACUGAUGUCCAUCUUUCCUCACAGACUUGUUGAGGCCAUAGAUAUUGUUGCCAACAUUCAGCAGAGGGGCUGACCCAGAGUAGGGGCUCCACCUUGCAGAACAGAGGGCUGAUGAACCGAGUAAGGGAAUGAUGCAUGAAUACUCUGCUCCAGAACAUGGGCUGUGUGUGCAAAAAGAGGGCUUGUGAUCGGCAAUGUCUUUUUCCCUUUGAAUGAUAAAGGGGCUGCUCUCUGUAAGAAAACCAACAUUGCUCAUCAGGCUUUGUAAUACAAUUCACACCGACACUCUUCUUGUAAAAUCCAUGCAUGCUGCAGAAAUUUGUAUUCUUGCCGCUCUGGAACAUGCUGGUGGACUCGAGGCCUGCAUGCUGAUGUUUAAAUGGAGCUGCAAAAGUACUUUUUCCUUUUGCUGACUGGCAUUUGUGCAUUUUCAGUUCAAACUUGCUUCCGGGGUGGGGGAGAGGAGGAGGAAAGCAUCUUCCAUCAGAUAACGUCUUUAUUUUAAGUAUUUCGCAGCCUUUCCACUGCAGCCCACAUGGGCCCCAUGCUUCUGUGGUUGGCAGAGAUCAAUGCAAUCAAUAUUUUUGACUGCACAGCUUUCUAUGACUUACACAUAUUUAAAAGGAUAAAACAUAAUCAACAAUUCUCUGUGUGAACUCAACCAUUCUAAUCCUUAUCUUUGAUUCUUUGGGAUCCAGCAAAUAGGAUAAGUAAGUCCCCAGCAUAUUUUGUCCAAGACUAGGGAGUUCAGCCUGGCAGGAACCUUUUGGUCCCGUGGCCUGGACUACAUGAGCUUCCUUCACUCUGGGAAAUCAGACUGGAAAACUAGACAUUGCUGCAUUUGGGAACAUUGGUGGCCUUUUCCUUGGACCAUUGCCUUUUGCUAAACACCACACUGCUUUCUCACACUGUUAUUAGCUAAAUAAUGAGCUACUGCUCUCAGGGGUAUUUGCUUCUUGAAAAGAACUACUUGAAGCCAGCAUUAAGCCAAAACACUGAAGCAUUAAUGGUGGGAUUGUAGGCAGCUCAUUGAAACAGGGUGUUAUUAAAAAAAAUAAAAGAAACGAUUUAUUGUGAUGACUUUUACCUGGAGCAAUUUCUCCUUAUGAAAAGGAUGAAUGCACCAAAAAAACAGGGAUUGGCAACCUUUUUCUGCAAAGUGCCAGAUAGUAAAUAGUGUCAGCCUUGUGGGUGAUAUGGGUCCUGUAGUAACUACUCAACUCUUCAGUGAGAGCAUGACUCACCCAAAAUCUCUACAUAAAUAAUGAGUUCAGCUUUGAUGAACUUACCCAAAAUUACAUAUUUAACAAAAAACCCAGAAAGUUCUUUUAUUUUCAGUGCACAUCCUUUUUUUUUUUUUUUUUUUUUUUUUUUUUGUCAUUUUUAAACAUAAAAUACUAUUUCGAAAUGCAUGUGGAUAGAAGAGAGGUCAUAGUAACCUGAUCAGUCUUCGGGGCUGCUGAAGAUACUCAUUUAACCUGACCGCACCCCCUGAAUUGUUUCAUCAUUUCUCUGC
rnacentral:lncRNA from 1 species